rnacentral:rRNA from 1 species
AAUGAACGCUGGCGGCAGGCCUAAAACAUGCAAGUCGAGCGCCCUAGCAAUAGGGAGCGGCGCACGGGUGAGUAACACGUGGGAAUAUGCCUUUUGGUACGGAACAACCUCGGGAAACUGAGGCUAAUACCGUAUGGUCCCUUCGGGGUAAAGAUUUAUCGCCAAAAGAGUAGCCCGCGUUGGAUUAGCUAGUUGGUAAGGUAACGGCUUACCAAGGCGACGAUCCAUAGCUGGUCUGAGAGGACGAUCAGCCACACUGGGACUGAGACACGGCCCAGACUCCUACGGGAGGCAGCAGUUAGGAAUAUUGGACAAUGGGCGCAAGCCUGAUCCAGCCAUGCCGCGUGAGUGAUGAAGGCCUU